rnacentral:rRNA from 1 species
GAUGAACGCUGGCGGCGUGCUUAACACAUGCAAGUCGAACGAUGAAGCCCAGCUUGCUGGGUGGAUUAGUGGCGAACGGGUGAGUAACACGUUAGUAACCUGCCCUUGACUCUGGGAUAAGCCUGGGAAACUGGGUCUAAUACUGGAUAUGACUUCUCAUCGCAUGGUGGGGGGUGGAAAGAUUUAUUGGUCUUGGAUGGACUCGCGGCCUAUCAGCUUGUUGGUGAGGUAAUGGCUCACCAAGGCGACGACGGGUAGCCGGCCUGAGAGGGUGACCGGCCACACUGGGACUGAGACACGGCCCAGACUCCUACGGGAGGCAGCAGUGGGGAAUAUUGCACAAUGGGCGCAAGCCUGAUGCAGCGACGCCGCGUGAGGGAUGACGGCCUUCGGGUUGUAAACCUCUUUCAGUAGGGAAGAAGCGAGAGUGACGGUACCUGCAGAAGAAGCGCCGGCUAACUACGUG